rnacentral:piRNA from 1 species
UUCUAGUAGCCUUCCUGGAGACAAAAGGGA